CAUGGCUGGGGGUGGAAAGAUUUAUCGGUGCGAGAUGGGCCCGCGGCCUAUCAGCUUGUUGGUGGGGUAAUGGCCUACCAAGGCGACGACGGGUAGCCGGCCUGAGAGGGCGACCGGCCACACUGGGACUGAGACACGGGCCAGACUCCUACGGGAGGCAGCAGUGGGGAAUAUUGCACAAUGGGCGAAAACCUGAUGCAGCGACGCCGCGUGAGGGAUGACGGCCUUUGGGUUGUAAACCUUUUUUGACAGGGACGAAGCGCCAGUGACGGUACCUGUAGAAGAAGCCCCGGCCAACUUCGUGCCAGCAACCGCGGUAAUAAGUAGGGUGCGAGCGUUGUCCGGAAUUACUGGGGGUAAAGAGCUUGUAGGCGGUUUGUUGCGUUGUUUGUGAAAAAUCCCAACUCAACUGUGAGCUUGCAGGCGAUACGGGCAGACUUGAGUUCUGCAGGGGAGACUGGAAUUCCUGGUGUAGCGGUGAAAUGGGCAGAUAUCAGGAGGAACCCCGGUGGCGAAGGCGGGUUUUUGGGCAGUAACUGACGGUGAGAAGGGAAAGCGUGGGUAGGGAACAGGAUUAGAUACCCUGGUAGUUCCCCCCGUAAACGGUGGGCGCUAGGUGUGGGUUUCCUUCCACGGGAUCCGUGCCGUAGCUAACGCAUUAAGCGCCCCGCCUGGGGAGUACGGCCGCAAGGCUAAAACUCAAAGGAAUUGACGGGGGCCCGCACAAGCGGCGGAGCAUGUGGAUUAAUUCGAUGCAACGCGAAGAACCUUACCUGGGUUUGACAUACACCGGAAACCUGCAGAGAUGUAGGCCCCCUUGUGGUCGGUGUACAGGUGGU
rnacentral:rRNA from 1 species